rnacentral:rRNA from 1 species
CAGUCGCCACGGGAAUACGGAGGGUGCAAGCGUUAAUCGGAAUUACUGGGCGUAAAGCGCACGCAGGCGGUUUGUUAAGUCAGAUGUGAAAUCCCCGAGCUUAACUUGGGAACUGCAUUUGAAACUGGCAGGCUAGAGUCUUGUAGAGGGGGGUAGAAUUCCAGGUGUAGCGGUGAAAUGCGUAGAGAUCUGGAGGAAUACCGGUGGCGAAGGCGGCCCCCUGGACAAAGACUGACGCUCAGGUGCGAAAGCGUGGGGAGCAAACAGGAUUAGAUACCCCUGUAGUCCCUGUCUCUUAUAC